rnacentral:lncRNA from 1 species
UUUAGGGCUGUUGGGGUCUUUUUCGUCCGAAGGCUUAUUCGGGCUUUGUUGAUUCUUGGAUCGCCAUAGAGUGAUGAAUGAAGAUUUUGUUGCCGCUUUGUCUGAGUUAGCGAGAACUAGGCCCAAAGUAUCCCGAGGGAGAAGCAAGUCCCGGGAGAGUACUUUGUUUUUCUUCCAGCGGCUGCGUGUUUUGUGUUGAUGUUUCCGGCAGCUCGACAAAGAGUUGAAGAUGACUUGCUGAUGUUGAUAUGAGAUCAUAUGAGCUUGGCAUGAGAGCUUGGAGUGUAGGAGCUAGAGACCCACAAGUUUAGCAAAUGAGAAUGCAUGUGCUUGGCUUAGUGUUGGAUAUGUUUGAGUUUGGUGUUGAUAAUUUAUUGUGUGUGGCUAUGGCUAUGGGGAUUUAAGAGUUUCAAGAGAAGGAGGAUGGAAGGAAAAACUUGAUGUUUGAGGGCUAUGGUGUUUAAAGCUUGAAAGGAAGGAAAAGCUUAGAGCUAGGUGAUGCUUUAUGGAUUUAAGAGUUUCAAGAUAAGGAGGAUGGAAGGAAAAGCUUGAGGUUUGAAAGCUAUGGUGUUUAAAGCUUGAAAGGAAGAAAAAGCUUGGAGCUAGGUGAUGCUUUAUGAAUAUAAGAGUUUCAAGAUAAGGAGGAUGGAAGGAAAAGCUUGAGGUUUGAAGGCUAUGAUGUUUAAAGCUUGGAAGAAAGGAAAAGCUUGGAGCUAGGUGAUGCUUUAUGAAUAUAAGAGUUUCAAGAUAAGGAGGAUGGAAGGAAAAGCUUGAGGUUUGAAGGCUAUGAUGUUUAAAGCUUGGAAGAAAGGAAAAGCUUGGAGCUAGGUGAUGCUUUAUGGAUUUAAGAGUUUCAAGAGAAGUAGGAUGGAAGAAAAAACUUGAGGUUUGAAGGCUAUGAUGUUUAAAGCUUGGAAGGAAGGAAAAGCUUGGAGUUAGGUGAUGCUUUAUGGAGGUUGGUGGCUGCUGGGAUGCUUGCAGGAGCCAAGUGAGGGAGUGUUGGCUGAAGAAAAAUUGGUCGAUGGCUGCUGUGUUGCUUGCAGCAGCCGAAUGAGGAGGGGCUUGAUGGCUGAAGAAAAAUUAGUGGCUGCUGGAAUGCUUACAGCAGCUGAAGAAAGGUGAGUUCUCAUGGUUGUUGAGAAGCUUGCAACAACCAAGAGGGGUUGGUUUUGGCUGAGUAAUGCCUCCCAAAUGAUAGAAGGUGAAGGCUCUCUUUGGUUUUCAAUAGGUAAAAGGAAGUGUUGGAGCUAGUCUAUUUCCAACAGAUAAAAUGGGGCAUUGGGACAUUCUUAUUUCCAGCAGGUAAAGCUAGGCAUUGAAAAAUGAUUAUUUUCUAUGGGUAAAAGGAAGUGUUGGAAGUGGCUUGUUUCCAGUGGGUAAAAAGAAGCAUUGAGAUAGUCUUAUUUCCAGCGGGUAAAGUUAGGUAUUGAAAAAUGACUAUUUUCUAUGGGUAAAAAGAAGUGCUUGAAAAAUAUCUCAUUUGCUCGCCCACAUUGGAGAACUCUAAGUAAUGGGCUUGGACUUUGGUGCUCCCAAGUAGCUAGCUCAAAGUCUUCAUUAUCUAAAAGUUUCUGUGGGCCUUGUGGACCUCCGUAACCUUCCACACCACAAUCCCUUGUGCAAGCCCAUAAACCACAUGACUUGGGUUCAUGUAAGCUUGGUAGGUGAUUGGCAUAGGCAAAAUGUAUUAUUGAUUUGGCAUGGCAUGUACACUAUUUAUAUAUUUAUUUAAUAAAUUAAUUCCCAAAAUACAGCUUGAAUUAACACAUGACCAACAUUAUAUGUUAUAUUGGGCUUUGAAUGUCUUUGGGCUUCCCAUGACUUUUUUGGGUCUCAAUAAGGGUAUUAUCCAUUACUAUUAAGCCAUUAUCCGAGUCUAUUGAUUUAC